rnacentral:rRNA from 1 species
UACGUAGGGUGCAAGCGUUAAUCGGAAUUACUGGGCGUAAAGCGUGCGCAGGCGGUUAUGCAAGAGAGAUGUGAAAUCCCCGGGCUUAACCUGGGAACUGCAUUUGUGACUGCAUAGCUAGAGUACGGUAGAGGGGGAUGGAAUUCCGCGUGUAGCAGUGAAAUGCGUAGAUAUGCGGAGGAACACCGAUGGCGAAGGCAAUCCCCUGGACCUGUACUGACGCUCAUGCACGAAAGCGUGGGGAGCAAACAGG